UACGUAGGCUUCAAGCGUUAUCCGGAAUUACUGGGUGUAAAGCGUCUGUAGGCGGCAGAGUAAGUUUGGCAUGAAAGACCGGGGCUUAACCCCGUGUUUGUGUCGAAAACUGCUCAGCUAGAAUCUGGGAGAGGGAAGCAGAAUGAUGUGAGUAGGGGUGCAAUCCGUUGAUACACAUCAGAAUACCAAAAGCGAAGGCAGCUUCCUGGAACAGUAUUGACGCUCAGAGACGAAAGCGUGGGGAGCGAAAAGG
rnacentral:rRNA from 1 species